GCCCGGCUAGCUCAGUUGGUAGAGCAUAAGACUCUUAAUCUCAGGGUUGUGGGUUCGAGCCCCACAUUUGGGCG